rnacentral:rRNA from 1 species
GAGUUUGAUCGUGGCUCAGAUUGAACGCUGGCGGUAUGCUUAACACAUGCAAGUCGAACGGUAACAGGAGAGAGCUUGCUCUUUUGCUGACGAGUGGCGGACGGGUGAGUAAUGCGUAGGAAUCUGCCUAGUAGUGGGGGACAACGUGUGGAAACGCACGCUAAUACCGCAUACGCCCUACGGGGGAAAGCGGGGAUCUUCGGACCUCGCGCUAUUAGAUGAGCCUACGUUAGAUUAGCUAGUUGGUGGGGUAAAGGCCUACCAAGGCGACGAUCUAUAGCUGGUCUGAGAGGAUGAUCAGCCACACUGGGACUGAGACACGGCCCAGACUCCUACGGGAGGCAGCAGUGGGGAAUAUUGGACAAUGGGCGAAAGCCUGAUCCAGCAAUACCGCGUGUGUGAAGAAGGCCUGAGGGUUGUAAAGCACUUUCAAUUGUGAAGAAAUAUUUAAGGUUAAUAACCUUAAAUUUGUACGUUAACUUUAGUAAGAAGCACCGGCCUAACUCCGUGCCAGCCGCCGCCGUAA